GUGCUCACUUCAACAGCACAUGUACUAAUAUUGGGAUGAUACAGAGAUUAGCAUGGCCUGCUGCAUGAGAAUGGCCUGCAAAUUCAUGAAGUGUUGCACAAUUCU